rnacentral:rRNA from 1 species
GACAGAGGGGGCAAGCGUUGCUCGGAAUUACUGGGCGUAAAGGGCGCGUAGGCGGAAUGGCAAGUCGGUCGUGAAAUCCUUCGGCUCAACCGAAGAACGUCGAUCGAAACUGCCGUUCUUGAGGAUUGCAGAGGAGACUGGAAUUCCCGGUGUAGCGGUGAAAUGCGCAGAUAUCGGGAGGAACACCGGUGGCGAAGGCGGUUCUCUGGGCCUUACCUGACGCUGAGGAGCGAAAGCGUGGGGAGCGAACAGG